GUUUUGUUUUGAUUUUCAGAAAUAACAUGCGACAGACGUGAUUUUGAGACUGCAGAUGUUUUCAGGAAUAACAAGCAGAAAUACAGAUACAAUGAAGAGGUCGAUUAUGUCUGCAAGGAAGGUUAUCGAGGAAGGUUUACUCUAACCUGUAAGGAUAGAGGUUGGACCGGGAAUUCACAAUGUAGCGAGAUAAAAUGCAUCAGACAGGUUUACCAAAAUGCAGACAUUGAUGAAAAUGUUCGGAACGAAUACAGAUACAAUGACCAGGUCAAAUAUACCUGUAACAAUGGCCAUGAGGGACAUUUUACUCUUACCUGUGGGGAAACGGAUUGGAACGGAUCUCCACAAUGUAAACUGAUACAGUGUAAAACACUUCAAAUCGACAAUGCAUACAUUACCCACAAUGAAAAGGAAAGUUACGGCCACAAUGAUCGAGUCCAAUAUGCAUGCAGGAAAGGUAGUGACAGACGUUUUACUGUUACCUGUGAACAAAGUGGUUGGACUGGGAUUGAGAGCUGUUCAGCAUGUCAAAACGCU